AAUGAACGCUGGCGGCAUGCCUAACACAUGCAAGUCGAACGAAGGCUUCGGCCUUAGUGGCGCACGGGUGCGUAACGCGUGGGAAUCUGCCCUCAGGUUCGGAAUAACAGCGAGAAAUUGCUGCUAAUACCGGAUGAUAUCGCGAGAUCAAAGAUUUAUCGCCUGAGGAUGAGCCCGCGUAGGAUUAGCUAGUUGGUGUGGUAAAGGCGCACCAAGGCGACGAUCCUUAGCUGGUCUGAGAGGAUGAUCAGCCACACUGGGACUGAGACACGGCCCAGACUCCUACGGGAGGCAGCAGUGGGGAAUAUUGGACAAUGGGCGAAAGCCUGAUCCAGCAAUGCCGCGUGAGUGAUGAAGGCCUUAGGGUUGUAAAGCUCUUUUACCCGGGAUGAUAAUGACAGUACCGGGAGAAUAAGCUCCGGCUAACUCCGUGCCAGCAGCCGCGGUAAAGUCUGUACU
rnacentral:rRNA from 1 species